rnacentral:tRNA from 1 species
AGGGUUGUGGCUCAGCGGUAGAGUGUUUACCUCGCAUGUAUGAGGCACUGGGUUCGAUUCUCAGCAUCACAU